CGGGUGAGUAAUAUAUCGGAACGUAUCCAAUAAUGGGGGAUAACUAGUCGAAAGAUUAGCUAAUACCGCAUACGCCCUGAGGGGGGAAGCUGGGGAUCUUCGGACCUAGCGUUAAUGGAGCGGCCGAUAUCUGAUUAGCUAGUAGGUGAGGUAAGAGCUCACCUAGGCGACGAUCAGUAGCUGGUCUGAGAGGACGACCAGCCACACUGGAACUGAGACACGGUCCAG
rnacentral:rRNA from 1 species